AGUGAACGCUGGCGGUAGGCCUAACACAUGCAAGUCGAACGGUAGCACAGUAAGAGCUUGCUCUUACGGGUGGCGAGUGGCGGACGGGUGAGGAAUACAUCGGAAUCUACUUUUUCGUGGGGGAUAACGUAGGGAAACUUACGCUAAUACCGCAUACGACCUACGGGUGAAAGCAGGGGAUCUUCGGACCUUGCGCGAUUGAAUGAGCCGAUGUCGGAUUAGCUAGUUGGCGGGGUAAAGGCCCACCAAGGCGACGAUCCGUAGCUGGUCUGAGAGGAUGAUCAGCCACACUGGAACUGAGCCACGGUCCAGACUCCUACGGGAGGCAGCAGUGGGGAAUAUUGGACAAUGGGCGCAAGCCUGAUCCAGCCAUACCGCGUGGGUGAAGAAGGCCUUCGGGUUGUAAAGCCCUUUUGUUGGGAAAGAAAAGCAGCAGGUUAAUACCCCGCUGUUCUGACGGUACCCAAGGAAUAAGCACCGGCUAACUUCGUG
rnacentral:rRNA from 1 species